rnacentral:pre_miRNA from 1 species
UUUGUACUCCCUCCGUCCCAAAAUUCUUUUCUUAAAUUUGUCUAAAUACGGAUGUAUCUAGUUACAUUUUAGUGUUAGAUACAUCUGUAUCUAAACAAAUGUAAGACAAGAAUUUUGGGACGGAGGGAAUACUAC